GGGGGGGGUCAGAAGUGCUCUUUCAUAAGAACUGAAAAGGAUCUUCUAAACUGUGUUAAAUUAAAAUCGCUCAACAUCUCAUAACAGAUCAGAAAUGGAAAUGGAUUCUCUGUUGUCAUCAGUGCUUCUCCUGUCAAAUACUGGAUGGCAUUUGACACAUUUUUCUGAAAUGUUAAAAACAUCAAAUCACUAUUUGCUUUUGAUUUUAAAUCCAGUAUAUAAGGACUGUUGGAUACCAAUUUAUCAGUCCACUGGUGACAGCCCCUCACACUUUAGGAUCUUCCAGUCAAUAAAAUGUAACCAACAAAAACUAUUCUCUCUGCCCAUAUUUCUUAUUGUCAAUAAAUUCCAUAAAAUAGUUUAACACUUUCUGACUUCCUUACCCCAUCUGUGACUCUCAUUAUCACUAGCCAGCAGACCUGUCCUAAAAAAUAAACAAAAUAACUCACUCUAGCUGCCUUUGGAUGGAUUUAACUUUGUGUAAUAGGUUAAUCUCUUAUACCGAACUGACCCCUAGGCUUGUGCCAUCCUACACCUUAAACUGCAGUGAGACAGAUCUAAUGUCUGCAAAAGAGGAGGACAGAUUGAUUAUAGUUCUAAAAAUAAGUGGCUAAAAUCCCCUUACCGCCACAGACCUUUUGCUGCUGCAAGCAGCAUUUCCUCCUACUUAACAUUGUGAGAAAAAGUAAUCGUAAAUAAUCAACCUUUUCAAUUGUACUUCAGCUAGAUAUCUAUAUGCAACCACGUAUAAAAGUAGAAUAUGUUCACUUUGAAAGAGCAAGAAAGACCAAGCAUUCUAAGACCAAAACAAAGAUUUUUUGCAUUUGAAGGUAUUUUUUAUCACGUGCAAAAGUCUGUGAAUAUUUUUUGUGGGUCUGUCACUAAUUGAUGGCAUCCACAUGCUCCUCUUUGUAAUGUAUAUUUAUUUCUAUCCUGAUGAAUGUGUGUGUGUUUUGGAAGGGUGAUGUUCACUAUACUCGUUAUGUCUUAUGUCAGUUAUUUGCAUGGUUCCAAUUUUGUAAGCACAUUUUUGUAAUGUUGCCAGUGUUAAGACUUGUAGAUAUGUUUUUACAUGUUUGCAGAUGUGCAUUAAAAUGAAUGAUGGUAUAACUCAAUCAUCUUUCUUUGUGAAGUGGUGUAAGCAUUACUUACCAGCAGAAAAUAAUUUGGAAAAUGCCUAAUGAAAUAUAGUUUUCUAGGACAAUUUACAUAAUAUUUUGUAUAAAUGCAUGGUCUUUUUUAGAAACCUGAAGACACACACAAAAUAUGCCCCCACUGCUGUGUGUCACACUGUACACUCACGACUGCAAACCCCUAACAUGGAGAGGAGUCUGUUGUGAAGUUUGCGGACGACACCACCAUCAUCAGCCGGAUCUCAAACAACGAUGAGACUUCAUAUCGGGAGGAAUACGGAGAUAAACGCACACACUCCUGUCUACAUCAGUAGGGCUGAUGGCUCAUCGGUACCCAUCUCCCGAGCAUCAGUGAGGCGAGGUGCCUCCAGAGCCCAAAGAAUCCUAAAGGACAGUACCCACCCAGCCACAGCCUGUUCACCCUGCUGCCUUCUGGGAACAGAUACAGAAAUAUAGCAGCUUUUCCCUCUGGCUGUGAGACUCUUCAUCUCCACCUCAUCCUCUGCACUCCAUCAUAAAGAAAUGACAUGGAACUUUCUGUUUUCUGGUUUUGCAGAUCGUCAUACCACCACCUUGUAUAAUGUAUCCAACAGUAUAUAUUGCUUUUAUUUUUAUGCUCUGUAUGUGUAGUGUGAAGAGGGUGCCAGUUUUCAUGUCACUGUGAAACCCUGUGUAUUAUAUAAUAAAUGAACCUUGAUAAAUUUA